CAGCAGCCGCGGUAAUACGUAGGUGGCAAGCGUUGUCCGGAAUUAUUGGGCGUAAAGCGCGCGCAGGCGGUUUCUUAAGUCUCCUGUGAAAGCCCCCGGCUCAACCGGGGAGGGUCAUUGGAAACUGGGGAACUUGAGUGCAGAAGAGGAGAGUGGAAUUCCACGUGUAGCGGUGAAAUGCGUAGAGAUGUGGAGGAACACCAGUGGCGAAGGCGACUCUCUGGUCUGUAACUGACGCUGAGGCGCGAAAGCGUGGGGAGCGAACAGGAUUAGAUACCCUGGUAGUCCACGCCCGUAAACGAUGAGUGGUAAGUGUUAGAGGGUUUCCGCCCUUUAGUGCUGCAGCAAACGCAUUAAGCACUCCGCCUGGGGAGUACGGUCGCAAGACUGAAACUCUAAAGGAAUUGAGGGG
rnacentral:rRNA from 1 species